GACGAACGCUGGCGGCGUGCCUAAUACAUGCAAGUAGAACGCUGAAGGAGGAGCUUGCUUCUCCGGAUGAGUUGCGAACGGGUGAGUAACGCGUAGGUAACCUGCCUGGUAGCGGGGGAUAACUAUUGGAAACGAUAGCUAAUACCGCAUAAGAGUAGAUGUCGCAUGACAUUUGCUUAAAAGGUGCAACUGCACCACUACCAGAUGGACCUGCGUUGUAUUAGCUAGUUGGUGAGGUAACGGCUCACCAAGGCAACGAUACAUAGCCGACCUGAGAGGGUGAUCGGCCACACUGGGACUGAGACACGGCCCAGACUCCUACGGGAGGCAGCAGUAGGGAAUCUUCGGCAAUGGACGGAAGGCUGACCGAGCAACGCCGCGUGAGGGAAGAAGGUUUUCGGAUCGUAAAGCUCUGUUGUAAGAGAAGAACGAGUGUGAGAGUGGAAAGUUCACACUGUGACGGUAUCUUACCAGAAAGGGACGGCUAACUACGUG
rnacentral:rRNA from 1 species